AAGAAAUACGUUCUCCUGUAAAUUUUUUUAUGAUCCAUGGUUGUGUUGUAACGGAUAAGCAAACGCGGUAUGAUUGUUUCGUCAGGGAUGAAUAAAAUGAGAGUCACUGAAAAUUGAACACGUCUCGUGCGUCCAAUGAUAUUCGUGCGUACUGGCGUCGUGCCGCCGCCGACGACUGGCACAAUGUUACAGAUGGCUUGGAACGCCGACUAUUGUCCUUACUCUACUGCAGCUACCGUUGCUUUGUUACUUUGUUGACUUAUUGUGUGUAUCGCGUACCGUUAAAAGACACUGUUGGCCGGUUCGCCAUUUAUUUCUAAACUUAAUUUCUUCUUCGCCGGUUCUGUUCUCCUAUCGACUUCUCCAUUUCAGCAUGCAUUAGAACGUUUUUUCUCAUUGUCUUCGAGUCGAGAACAAUCGUUUUCCGUUCGAUUCAUCGUCUCGGUCGUCAUAACGUUAAUAAUUAAUUACCAGUUGGCAAGGUGUCGGUCACAAUUUCGGUUCCUACAGAUUUUCGUCUCGAAGGUGAGAACUUGUUGAUUCGAUACUGGUUGUUUUAGCACAGUCUCGUCAUGAAAGCCGUUUCGAAGAACACUGAUCACAUCCAGAGCAAAGAUGAUAGUUGUUCAUCGUGCAGAGUAUCAGGAUCUGUUACUUUCCUACUGGUUGCUGCAUAUUUUUAUUUUGGCUGCAAGCACGUGAAACCCAUUUAUUAUUUUGGAACGCCUAGUAUGAUAUAUUUAUCUGUAGCCAGAGCAACAAAUUUGGCACCUUUUAAUGGUUAACAUUUCAAUACCAACUAUAUGCUUUGCAUUUAUAUUAUAGUUAAUUAAGGUUCACUAUCAAGGCUUUGAUUCAUAUGAUGAAGAAGAUGAAGAGUUUACUUGAAUAUCUUUAUCCUAAUAAAAAUACAUGUAUAACUUAAGCAUCAUAAAAUUAUAAUUUAAAAAAAAAUUAGAUAUGAAUGUAAAAAUAAUUAUAUUAAAUACCUCUAAAACAAGCAUGUCAAACAUGCGGCCCUCAGCUCUUUUUUUUUUGUGGACCGCGACCACCAAUAUUAAUGGACAAGAAAAAAAUUAAUAAUACAAUAUUAAUGCCGUGUCAUAACUAUCUUAGAUUCUUAGAGAAUGGUUUGUUCGGUAUACAUCACUACACUGUCUUAUCUUCUGAUUAGCUAACCUUUUUUUAUUUAGUUGUAUCUGCUGUGUCCGUAAACAUAAAGAAUAAAAUUGAUAAAUGUGUAGGUAUAUCAUACCAUACAGAAGUGCUUACUACUUCCGAAGUGGGGCAAAGUUAUCUCGGUUUACGAUAUCGGGUUUGUCUUGUUACAAUAGAUAUCUAGCUCAAACUCUAGUUGUAGGGUAUUUUAUCUCAUCGAUUGUUUCGUUCAGAACUCGCUCUACUGUUGUUUUUUUUAAACGACAUUUUUUUACAAAUUUCUCGUCAUUAUAAAUUUCAAGGUAAUUUGCCUUGUAUGAAAAGUUUGGCUUUAUUGAAUGGCAACAUCAAAAGCUUUUAUGUCGUCUUCAUAAUCGAAGACAUCUUCUUUGCCAAGUAAUAAUGAAUUAUGCUUAGCUCUAGACUUAAUUAUAUGUAAUAUAUAAUAUAAUUAUGUUUAUAUAAUUAUAUAAACAUGAACAUGCCUAAUAGUUCGUGCAUUUUACAUCUGCAACUGAUUUUAUAGUAAUAAUUCCUUCAGUUUGUUUGACAGUGGAGUUUGUUAUAUCUUUCCCAAUUACUUCAUCUUUUAUCAGUUGACUAAUUUUUUCUUGGUAAGAAACAUUCUAUAAAUAAUGUUUUUAUAGUUUGUAUAAUAAUAAACAAGGUCCAAAUUGUAUGUUAAAAUGCACAUGACUUUGAAGUUUUAAAAUACAAUGGCCAACAAUAUAAAAGGUUUUUUUUUAAAAAGUCACUAUAUUCUCCGAGGUUUUUGCAUUUGAAAUGGUUUCAUACGGUCUUUGUGUGUUCAUAAUUUACUUGUUGUACACGUGACUGUUAGUCUACUGUAAAAAUCUUUUUUUUUCGCCGGUAAAUUUGUUUCUUCGAGCUUGUUCCAACUAUCUGUAUAUUCAUAAGAGUAUACACCUUAAAGAGUAAUGAGCUUGCACGUUUUCAGUAAAAACGUUUUUUGCUGUCUGUCCGAACUUCUCGAACCCGACUGUUAAUGCAUUUUCUGUAAGUGUUGAUACUUGUAGUUUCGAUGCCAUGAAACGACAUAAGUCUAGAAUCGUAUUGAAAAGUUAUUGGUCCCAUGUUUUGAAAAUGAAAUGUAUUUUUCUUCGCUGUUUGAAAUAACCGAAAUAGUUAUGGAGUUGUAACCCAACUCGGUUACGAUUAAAUUUGUAUCAUAAUUUGAUAAAUGAACAUGAAAAUAUGGUAUGAAAUUCGGUGUUUGAAGCUUGAGGUUGUAGGUAUUACUGAAUGUUUGCCUAUAUUUGCCGGAUAAGUGACAGUGGUCUACCACUUAAUCGUUUUUGUUGGAAAAAUUACAUUACUUAAGUUGCAUGUAUUAUUGUCCAUAAGUGCUGUUUACUCUUCUUUGGUCAUUAUGAUGGGUUUAUUUGUUUUAAGUAAAUCUUGAACACUUUUUGCAAUCUCUGCAUCUUUCUUUGUUUUUUUUUUAAAUCGUGUAUGUUUUGGUUAAUUUUUCAAAUAUUUUUAUUACUGCGAUGGGUGUUGGGGACAUUAAAUCGGAAAAAUUGUAUUUUUCUUUGAUCGAAGUAUAAUUUUCGGUUACUUGAUUUUCACAUGAAUCCUUUUCUGUAAAUCUUCGUCACCGCGUCACCGAUCUUGUUGGUUAUUUCCACUGCCUUCCGCCUUCUCUUUUUUCUCCGACAGGCCCUCAGACGUGUUGCUCAAGAAAGCUGAUAUGCUGGGGUAGAGUAGGUAGUUUUUUGACUUCUCUAUUAUUUGAUCUGUUGUUAUUGGAUUUGGCCACGCAACGUUUGAAAUACCCAAACCUCUAAACUUGGUUUCUGUGUUCAAGUACGAUGUUCUGUUGCUCACCCACACAUAUAUUUCUUGAUCAUUCGGCUAGGUUUUGUCACACAUCCUUAUGACUAACUCGUUUGAUGACAGCGGCUUGAUGUUUGGAUGCUGUGCCCUGCAGCUGUAUUUAUUAAGAAACUUCAUUGGUCUACUCACGCUGACAGGGUGUACUUUAGUAGAGCACAAAUAAAAUAGUAUUAAUAUUAUACAAAAAAGGGUUAUCAAUAAAAAAAAAAAAUGUAAAAAAUAAAUACAUUAUC